rnacentral:rRNA from 1 species
UUGACCUCAAAUCAGGUAGGACUACCCGCUGAACUUAAGCAUAUCAAUAAGCGGAGGAAAAGAAACUAACAAGGAUUCCCCUAGUAACUGCGAGUGAAGCGGGAAAAGCUCAAAUUUAAAAUCUGGCGGUCUUGCGGCCGUCCGAGUUGUAAUCUGGAGAAGCGUUUAUCCGCGUCGGACCGUGUACAAGUCUUCUGGAAGGGAGCGUCGUAGAGGGUGAGAAUCCCGUCUUUGACACGGACAACCGGUGCUUUUGUGAUGCGC